UGGGGAAUAUUGCACAAUGGAGGGAACUCUGAUGCAGCGACGCCGCGUGAGUGAUGAAGGAAUUCGUUUCGUAAAACUCUGUUCUAUGGGAAGAAAAGGACUGUACCAUAGGAGAAAGCUCCGGCUAAAUACGUGCCAGCAGCCGCGGUAAUACGUAUGGAGCGAGCGUUGUCCGGAAUUAUUGGGCGUAACGGGUGCGCAGGCGGCUUUACAAGUUGGAUGUGAAAUAUUGUGGCUCAACCACAAACGUGCAUCCAAAACUGCAAAGCUUGAGUUAAGGAGAGGUAAGUGGAAUUCCUGGUGUAGCGGUGGAAUGCGUAGAUAUCAGGAGGAAUACCGGUGGCGAAGGCGACUUACUGGACUUAAACUGACGCUCAGGCACACAAGCGUGGGGAGCAAACAGG
rnacentral:rRNA from 1 species